GACGAACGCUGGCGGCGUGCCUAAUACAUGCAAGUUGUGCGCUGAAGGUUGGUACUUGUACCAACUGGAUGAGCAGCGGACGGGUGAGUAACGCGUGGGUAAUCUGCCUUUGAGCGGGGGACAACAUUUGGAAACGAAUGCUAAUACCGCAUAAAAGCUUUAAACACAAGUUUUAAGUUUGAAAGAUGCAAUUGCAUCACUCAAAGAUGAUCCCGCGUUGUAUUAGCUAGUUGGUGAGGUAAAGGCUCACCAAGGCGAUGAUACAUAGCCGACCUGAGAGGGUGAACGGCCACAAUGGGACUGAGGAACGGCCCAAAAUCCUACGGGAGGCAGCAGUAGGGAAUCUUCGGCAAUGGACGAAAGUCUGAACGAGCAACGCCGCGUGAGGGAAGAAGGGUUUCGGAUCGGAAAACUCUGUUGGUAGAGAAGAACGUUGGUGAGAGUGGAAAGCUCAUCAAGUGACGGUAACUACACAGAAAGGGACGGCUAACUACGUG
rnacentral:rRNA from 1 species